rnacentral:tRNA from 1 species
GGAGCUGUGCCUGAACCAAAGGGCUACUUUGAUAGAGUAGAACAUAGGGGGUCAAACCCCUCAGCUCU